rnacentral:rRNA from 1 species
GUGCCAGCAGCCGCGGUAAUACAGAGGGUGCAAGCGUUAAUCGGAAUUACUGGGCGUAAAGCGCGCGUAGGUGGUUCGUUAAGUUGGAUGUGAAAGCCCCGGGCUCAACCUGGGAACUGCAUCCAAAACUGGCGAGCUAGAGUUACGGUAGAGGGUGGGUGGAAUUUCCUGUGUAGCGGUGAAAUGCGUAGAUAUAGGAAGGGAACACCAGUGGCGAAGGCGACCACCUGGACUGAUACUGACACUGAGGUGCGAAAGCGUGGGGAGCAAACAGGAUUAGAUACCAUGGUAGUAC